UCUGCCCUAGAGGCAUUGCAGGUGCAGCUGCUGUGUCACAUGUGCAUCCUGAGGUGACAGAGAGGAGAGAGGCUAUGUGUCUAUGCUCAGUGUUUUGACCUGCGAACAUCUGAAUGAUUAGCAGCUCAAAAUU